GUCGUCCACCUCUCCCCAAACCACCACCCCCGUGGAAGAAGCCCCAGCCACAUAACAGACUUGCCUCUCUGCCCUAUUUUCUCUCCCCUCGGGCGACGGCGGCGGGGUGCUGCCUGGCGAGAUGUCCACCAGACGCCGGGUAUGUGUAUCUCGUGCCCUCUUUUUUCCCUUAGGUCAUCGUGUGUUCCUAAUCCCUGUGCCGGAUUCGAAUAAAGUUGACUGACGGAGCUUGAUUUGUACAGGUUCGGGCUCUCCGGAGCACUCGUCCUCUUCCACUCCGGCGGCCAAAUCACCCGGAUCCCGCGUCACCUUCCACUUCGGCGGCGGCUCGACUCAAGUUUGCAGAACACCGGAUCUGCCCAGGGCAAGGCCCUCGUCUACGGAUCUGUCCGGGAAAAAAAAUCAUUUUCUUCAUUGUUUCGGUCGGUGAGGCUGGAUCACACAUCAAUUACUUGUGCUUUUCUCCUAGAGCUGUUGUUCGUCUGUUUUAGAUUUGCACUUUUUAGGAAAUUUUUAUUUUGUUCCAUCUAUUCCUUUGGUACGGGUGAUCUAACUGUAUGGCUCGAUCGAGAUGCAUAUCACUUCUGUUGUUGAAUCCAAAAAUAGACUGCUCUUUUUUUUAUUGUAAUCCCCUUCCAUCUAUUCCUUAUGUGCAGAUGCGAUUUUCUUUUGUUUGCUUGUAAUCUCCUUCGUCUGAACUAGAUAAGUCUCUCCUCAUCCUGUUGCUGCGCAGAUCCGAAUUUGCCGUGAUGUUUGUUUAGACAAUAUAGAGAUUUUUUUUGUUCAUAACCAUGCUUAUGUGCCAGAUCGGCUUAUUUUUUCUGAUGUCUUGAGGAUUCCUCUAACUUGGAUAAUCGAUGCUUAAUCCUGCUGGAACUUAAUGAUGGAUUUGAUGUUCUGUUCUUGAGCUAAUCCAAGGUUCAUAAUUAUUUCAUUCAACUGGGGUAAAGUUUGAAUUCCUACCACUGAUUGCAAAGAUUUUCUGUUCCAUGGAUUUCAGUUUGUUUCGUUGAACCCUUUUCCACCGGAGUCAUAGACUUGAGCAACACUGAAGAUCAAGUGUGCCAUGGCGGCAAGGCCGCAUCCCUUGCCGGAAAUGCUGGUUGAGCUACAAGUGGCUGGACCAGAAGGUAUUUUAGAUUAAAAUGUUCUCGUCCAAAAAACCUUUAAUUCUGAACAUAGUAUGUGUCGGCCUUGUUCUUUGUUAGAUUUUGAAUAUAACCACAUUUCUCUCCUGAAAUCAGUAUCAUACAAGAUCGAAUUUCGUGGCUUCCAUGUCCCUUGUGCGAGAAACAUUCUCUGGGUUACAUAUUUAGAAAAAAAUAUAUAUGAUGAUGCAUUUGUG
rnacentral:lncRNA from 1 species